AUUGAACGCUGGCGGCAGGCUUAACACAUGCAAGUCGAGCGGAGUGAUGGUGCUUGCACUAUGACUUAGCGGCGGACGGGUGAGUAAUGCUUAGGAAUCUGCCAAUUAGUGGGGGACAACGUUUCGAAAGGAACGCUAAUACCGCAUACGUCCUACGGGAGAAAGCAGGGGACCUUCGGGCCUUGCGCUAAUAGAUGAGCCUAGGUCGGAUUAGCUUGUUGGUGAGGUAAUGGCUCACCAAGGCGACGAUCCGUAACUGGUCUGAGAGGAUGAUCAGUCACACUGGAACUGAGACACGGUCCAGACUCCUACGGGAGGCAGCAGUGGGGAAUAUUGGACAAUGGGCGAAAGCCUGAUCCAGCCAUGCCGCGUGUGUGAAGAAGGUCUUCGGAUUGUAAAGCACUUUAAGUUGGGAGGAAGGGUUGUAGAUUAAUACUCUGCAAUUUUGACGUUACCGACAGAAUAAGCACCGGCUAACUCUGUGCCAGCAGCCGCCGUAAAAC
rnacentral:rRNA from 1 species